UCCCCUGUAGUCCAGCGGCCCAAGACACGGCGUCCGUACGGUGCGAGUCCGGCCGGCAAUGGCAAGCAGCCCCGGCGCUCUAACGCUGGUUCGAAUCCAGCCAGGGGAC
rnacentral:tRNA from 1 species